rnacentral:rRNA from 1 species
CCUACGGGGGGCAGCAGUAGGGAAUAUUGCUCAAUGGGGGAAACCCUGAAGCAGCAACGCCGCGUGGAGGAUGACCCUUUUCGGAGCGUAAACUCCUUUUGUUAGGGAAGAAUAAUGACGUUACCUAACGAAUAAGCACCGGCUAACUCCGUGCCAGCAGCCGCGGUAAUACGGAGGGUGCAAGCGUUACUCGGAAUCACUGGGCGUAAAGGACGCGUAGGCGGAUUAUCAAGUCUCUUGUGAAAUCCUAUGGCUUAACCAUAGAACUGCUUGGGAAACUGAUAAUCUAGAGUGAGGGAGAGGCAGAUGGAAUUGGUGGUGUAGGGGUAAAAUCCGUAGAGAUCACCAGGAAUACCCAUUGCGGAGGCGAUCUGCUGGAACUCAACUGACGCUAAGGCGUGAAAGCGUGGGGAGCAAACAGGAUUAGAUACCCCAC